CAAUGUCAUGUUUAUAGCGGAUUGCUGGGGGAGAAGGGUGGCAGGAGGGGGAGAACCCAUCUAAUGAUUAAUUGCAGCUAAACUGGUGGAUCUACAAUUAUUUGGUUGUUGUGAACAAAUAAAGGACUCUGGUAUUCAUCAUAUUCAAAUGAGGCAGUAAAAUAAAUGACGCUGACGCCAUUGACGAACAAAACCUCACCAUGUUCCCCUUUGCAAUCGGGAAAUGUACUCGCACACUCACACACACGGGGAGAGAGAAAAAUAUUGUAAAUGAGAUACAGCCACUGUCAAGGGAUCGGCGGCCAUUUGUCUUCGCGCAACAUGGCGCAAUGCUGACCCAUCACUUGCCGGUUUUAAUUUAUGUCAUGAGAUGCUCCUUCAUUAUGCGCUUUUGAUGAAAACGAAGCACCAAUUUAUAAUACAGACUUGGGUGUAUGUGUGUGUGUUGCAAGUAGAUCUCCCCCCGCAGCACCGGCAGAAGUUCUGUCUUUCAUUAGCACCCAUUCCGCCAGGUUAAAGCGCCCAGGUACCGACGGAAAUAUGUCCCAUCAUUCAUCAUAAUUUUGCUUUCCACUUUGUCACAGCUUGGGUGUUUAAGGAAGAUAGAUGGCACAAGAUGUCUCCUUUUCAGAGGCUCUUUAUGCUCUGGAGAGGGAGAGGAGGAGCAUGGGGAAUCGGACGGCGGUUUGCGAGCUGAAUUCCUUAAUGACAUCCUCAUUAAAAAGGCUUCACUGCCAAACGCUGUUUGCCUCUGCCUUCGGAAACUGUCUGCAUUAAUAAUGAGGAGCUCCACUUGGAAGGGUCCAACAAACUCGACUCGCCCGCAAAAGUCACACAAUGAGAAGAGAUCCUGGAAACAGCAGACAUCACCCUAGUUUCUUACUCUAGACUUGCUUUUUAUGGGCUUCCCCAGGGUGGAUGAUACUUCCUCAGGCUGCAUCCCAAUUGCUUCAUGAAAUAAUUCUGUAUCCUCACACAUCUUUUGUUCUACCAGUUU